GUCCAGCUGACGAAUCCCAAAUAGGACGACACGGGCGUCCUGGAU
rnacentral:hammerhead_ribozyme from 1 species